rnacentral:pre_miRNA from 1 species
AGACACCCUUCUGGGGCAAGACUUGCUUCAGUGGGGCUUUGGUCCUCACUGAGUCUGCCCCCUGAGUGUGUCCCU